ACUGACGCAGCAUGCCGCGUGAUGAGAAGGCCUUCGGGUUGUAAAGUUCUUUCGGUAUUGAGGAAGGUUGGUGUGUUAAUAGCACAUCAAAUUGACGUUAAAUACAGAAGAAGCACCGGCUAACUCCGUGCCAGCAGCCGCGGUAAUACGGAGGGUGCGAGCGUUAAUCGGAAUAACUGGGCGUAAAGGGCACGCAGGCGGGCUUUUAAGUGAGGUGUGAAAUCCCCGGGCUUAACCUGGGAAUUGCAUUUCAGACUGGGAGUCUAGAGUACUUUAGGGAGGGGUAGAAUUCCACGUGUAGCGGUGAAAUGCGUAGAGAUGUGGAGGAAUACCGAAGGCGAAGGCAGCCCCUUGGGAAUGUACUGACGCUCAUGUGCGAAAGCGUGGGGAGCAAACA
rnacentral:rRNA from 1 species